rnacentral:lncRNA from 1 species
UAGUGGUCACCCAGAUAGGUGUCCUAUUUUAUUGUUUAUUUCUUCUACACUGACGUAUUUUGUUUUGUUUUGUCUAUGAUUGCAUUGCAUUACAUCAUCAUAGAAAGAAGGUGUUGAUUCACAUUCGAUUGCUAAAUAGAAGAGCUUGUCAUGAAAAAAUAGAUUUCUUGAUAAAGUGGAAUAUAAUACGGCAAUUCGAAUAUGGUCCGAGUAAACAACAAGAUAAGGCUGAUAAUUCAUGAAGGAAUACACGACUUUGCUUCAUCGCCUAAGGAUUCAAGCCAACAAAGAUUAUUCGAGAGCCUUCAUGUCCUAAAGAAACUGACAAGCAUCGCGAGGAUAAGUGAGCAAUGAGUCGCAACCUGGAUCGAGCAAAAAGAAGCUAGUAGAAGCACUCAUUGAAAAGUUCGCCAAAUUUGAUCUUAACCGCUGGAUAUGAAGAAAGGGAUCAGUGUCUUCGCUUGGAAUAUGAGGGCAAGGCUGCAUAUGUAA